UAUAAAUGAAGUAGAAGACCACGUACAUCUGAGUGGUCACCAAGCACCGUCGCCAUGUGAGCACAGCAGUCUGAAGUGGGGCAGCAAGCGCACAUGAAAGGACUAAUCUGAGCUGGGGUACUAACUGGGGUGAGGACAGUGCUAGUGGGAGAAAAGCCUGACUGAGCCAAGGAAGGCCCAAGGUCAGCAGGGAGGCUGGUG